GGCCACUGGUGAGGACUUCUCUGUAGAGCCAGCUGAUGAGAGGAGGCCUUUCCGUGCUCUUUUGGAUGUUGGCCUUGUUAGGACCACCACCGGAAACCGUGUCUUUGGUGCCCUGAAGGUAUACUGCUGCGAACUUGUAUGCUUGUCAAUUUGAUUGUUGCGCUUUUAACAAACAAACUUGUUGGAAACAUGUUGAACUCUAUCAAGUCUGGAUAAAUGUUAUCACUAUUUAACUUUCUUUUUGGGCUUGUCAACAUCAAGUUUCUGUAUUAUAUAGACUUUUAUGCACUGAAAGAAUUUACAUUCCCAUUUUCAUUAAGCUAUAGUUUUGUUGUAUGUUUAAGAAACGUUUUAAUGAAGACUGUUUUUUAUUGAACAUUAAUCACUGUUGCAUUCUGUUGUUGUAGGGUGCUUUGGAUGGUGGUCUGGAUAUUCCUCACAGUGACAAGAGGUUUGCUGGUUUCAAGAAGGAUGAGAAGAACCUGGAUGCUGAGAUCCACCGCAAGUACAUCUAUGGUGGCCAUGUUGCCGACUACAUGAGGGUGAGUUGUGCAUGUUGCUUGUCAGAUUGUAACCCUUUGUUCCUUUGUGUUGAUUGUGGUAUCUAUUUGGAGGUCUUUACUAAUUCUCACCACUAUUAUUUCUUAUUAUUUUUCCAGACUCUGGCUGAGGAGGAGCCAGAGAAGUACCAGGCUCACUUCAGUGAGUACAUCAAGAAGGGAAUUGAGGCUGAUGACAUGGAAGCUCUGUACAAGAAGGUCCAUGCUGCUAUCCGUGGUGAACCUACCAUGGCCAAGAUAACCAAGCAGCCACCAAAGGAGCACAAGAGGUAUAACAAGGCAGCCACCAAUCUAGCGAACUGUUGUCUACAUCUUGAUGCCUUUACCUACCUUAAUUCCAUAAACUGCAUAGCUCUAACAAUUAUUUUUCCUUUAGGUACAACCCCAAGAAGCUGACCUAUGAGCAGAGGAAGGCCAGCCUCGUCGAAAGGCUCAACGCCCUCAACUCCUCGGGUGGUGCUGAUGACGACGAUGAUGAGGAUGACGAGUGAAGUGUAGUCCCAUCGUAGUAGUUCUAUCUUAUGUGGUGAUCUGAACUUGUGCUGUGGCACUUAUUUACCUGUAGUCCUGCAACAGGCAU
rnacentral:lncRNA from 1 species